AAAGCUCAGAUUUGAAAUCUGUCGUCAUUUUGGCGUCCGAGUUGUAGUCUGUAGAGGUGUAUUCGAGUGUGGCUUUGGCUUAAGUUCCUUGGAACAGGACGUCAUAGAGGGUGAGAACCCCGUUAACGGCCUUUGUCUUAUGCUCAUGUGAAUCUCCUUCAACGAGUCGAGUUGUUUGGGAAUGCAGCUCUAAAUGGGUGGUAAAUUCCAUCUAAAGCUAAAUACUGGCAAGAGACCGAUA
rnacentral:rRNA from 1 species